UAGGCCUGAGUGCCGGCCUUUAUAUUGGGUUUGUAUUCUUCUGCUGUUGUAUCCAUGUGAAGUGUUGAGUGCUGGAAGUGUCAAAAUGAAAUCAGAAGAAGAGUAGUUAGUGUUCGAAUGUACGGUUACUAGUGUACGCAGUCACUUUUUUGUUUGGUAUUGAUCUAAGCAGGGUAUUAAGAGUUACUGGGUUAAGUACAAUCCGUUGAACGAGAGUUUACGUGGUAAAUGUGCGCGAGGAUGUAGGCGAUCUAAUGGGGACAUGUGGAAUAUUUGUUUCAUUGUGCUGUAGUUUACGAAAUCCUAGCUGUAUUUUGUUGUUAUUUUAAUAAGUAAAUUGAGAUUUAAGGUUAUGGAAACGCUUCGUAUUUGGUUUCUGAUGCGAUUCGUCUUAAUUCUUCUGCAAAUUUAGUUCGAGAAAUUAUUGAUCAGGGAAGAUGUCACUGCAGUAGCAUGCCGUUCAUUUGUCUGCCAACUUUAGUUCGGAGAUAUCUGUUUAUUUAUAUUUGUGUAAGAGCUUAGUGCACUGGACAGUAUGGAAGUAUCUAGCUAGAGUGACAGGGUGUAAUGAUGGUUGUGUGGCCACCACACCUCAGUUGCACACUUUAAAAUCUUAGAGACAGAUUAUCGGGUGUCCGUGGCACGCCUCAUAGUGCCUCAAGGAAGACCUCGGGCCCUCGUGCGUCUGGUUGCUCUGUGACGUGUUGUGACAGCAUCGUAUGCUUGAAUUAAUUUACAAUUAUUUCGUGUGUGGAAGGUACAAUGUGUCGUUGGUAACUGUAAUCCAAAGUUUAGAUAUUACAUACAGGUGGAAAUAAUAAGCGAGUUGCGUCGCUGGAAGAUUUAACAUGGAACAUUCCUUUUUCUCGAUGGACGAUGAGCUGGAAAUUGAUGCGAAAACUUCUAGGUCGGAAAAUAUCUUGCAUUCUGAAAUUGCACAGUAUGAAGAAGCUGAGAAAUGCUGUAUGCAGUUGAUCAGUGAGUUUCUCCACAGUUAUGAAUUGGAUUCCACACUCACAAAUUUUGUAACAGAGUGCUCUGCUUUCGGAUAUGUUGUCCCAUUUACCACAAGGAAGGAACGGAUCAAGAAAGAAAGUUUGUUAAAGAUAUUGGAGCAUUUUUCUCAGAAAGAUCAAAAUAAUUUUUUUGACGCCUGGGAAAUGCUAGUGCCGUCGUCCAUAAAGGAAAAGUUGGAAUACAAGAAACUAACGUUCUACCUACACAUUUACUUUGCUGUGUUGCCACUGAGGAAACAGAUCGGGGCUUCUCUUGACAGUAAUUUGUCCAUCCACUCUGAUAGCAAAUGCAGUGACUCCAACGCAGAACAGAACGAAGCGGAAGAUAUGUCCGCUGAGAAGUCUAUAACGGCAGCGGAUAACAGCGAACAGCCGGAGGCGACCGGUCAGAUUGAAGAAACUGAUCACAGCCAUGGUAUGGAGGCGCUGAGGAACUUCUUGGAGACAAAGGGUACCGAGUUCAGUGCAGAGACAGAGUUCCUGCCAUAUUAUGCCCUUCCAUUUGUUAGUGACCCUGCGUCUCAUCCUUCGUUCCAGGAACUGUUCACAUUUUAUUUUCAGGAAAGUUGGAUGAGCCAGUUGGAAAGCAGUUUGCGAGAAUUUGUGGUGGAUCAAAGCUGGGGCAAAGUGGUGGCGCCACAAAUACUGAAGCUAGUGCUCGAGAGCCGCUGCGACUCAACACGCGGUUCUCACUCGCGAUUCCUUGAGGCCCACAACUUCAAGAAGCUCAAGCAGAGGUACCAGAAACUGCAGAAGGAUCACCACAACCUUAUUGGCAUUGCUGCAGAGCUGACAGGGGCACUGGAGAACUCUGUCAAGGGACAGGUAGUAGACUUAAAGGCAACUCUGAAUAACUGCAGCAACAUCUUUCCAGACCUCUUCAACCUUUCGCUAGGAACGGAGGUUCAGCCGGAGGCCCCUGCUGAGGAUAUAGUUUCUCGCUCAGUAGUCCAGAGUCACGAGUUCCGAGUUGGCUUGACUUUUGAUCUGGACUUCAACAAGAUCAAGCAGCACCUCUCGCGUGGAAGUGUCAAGACGAAGCUGCUACUGUUCCAAGCACUCAGAUGGCGCGUCACUCGGAGUUCCCCCGAAGACCGAGGGGGCGCGGUAGGACUGUACUUCCGUCAUGAUGUGCUGAGUCUUCACCAUUCCAACCCACAGCCUUCAUCUCUGCUUGGAGGUCGCUGUGAGUCCCCCACGCAGCUACCCCUGCCAGCAUACUUCAACCCCACACAUGCACUGACACCUCAUCCAUUGCAGCAGGCCGCAGCUCGUUUCAUCAACACCCUGGCUUCUCUGCGCUGUGGACGUGACUACCUCUGCUCAGCAGGCUCCAAGGUCCUGAGGGUGCUAGUAUCCUGCCUCCAGGGUGACAAGAGCGUCAAGGUGGACUCUGUGACGACUGAUAUGAUCCUGGCUGCACUGCAGAAACUCAGCCUGAGGCACAGCCAGCGAGUGGGGAUGAUAGAGGUGGGUCUUGUGGAGUGGUUGAUCCUUCACCUGAGUGCUAAUGCAAACAGUAUGAAAGAUUACACCCUGGAGUACAGUAGUGCUCUUCUCAUGAACUUGUGUCUGCACCGCCGUGCCAAAGAGCGUUGUGUGCCGUUCGCCGAGACUGUGCUCAAACUGCUGAUGGAGCUGCUGGGUUCCAAGGUGGUGCAGGCAAUCCCAUAUGUAAACGGUACAUUGUACAGCUUGCUGGCUCACCCACAGCUGAACCACGAGGCCAAGCGCUUGAGGCUUUGUGGUGUUCUCGAGUUCUACCUCAAGAACUGUGACGGCGAGAUGAGGAAGCAGCUAGAGUACAUCUUGAAGUUGCAUCGAGGGGACUGCCAACCAGAUCACACUUCUGCGUCUGAUGAGGAGAAUGCUGACGAUGACACAGAGGAGGUGGAUCUGCUUGAAGAGGAACUGGACAGUGACGACCCAGUGCGCGGCCUGCACUGCGAUCUAAGUGGAGAUCAGCUGUUGUACCGCCAGUACCGGUUGGUGUUUCCAUACCACGGAAUUGUGCACCCAUCUUCCUCAUCUGUGACACAGCCUGUGAGAGAUAAAUUGCUGCGGCCCGCUACACCUCGGCGUGGUUCUCUUGGGCCCUUACGUGCGAAGUGUCCCACGACUAGACCUGCCACCUCGACGGAAUGCGGCCACCCCGAGAGCAGACGGGAGGAACUGUCAGAAACGUGCCCAAAGACAAGCAACUUGGCCAGUCUAGAACUGGAAGAUGAUGAUGCGGUUGUGUGCGACAGAAAAAAUGCCUGUGGCAGUUGCGCAGACUGCGAUCCAAAUGACUCAAAAUCACUCUGUAUAACAGACUCCAGCCCAAAAGAGGUGGCAGCAGUGAGUCCGUCACAACCGUCGGCUGUAUCCCAGGACGGGUGAGUCAAGAGAUGAUGAAUACUCAGCAGCCUUCACGUCCCGUCCAAAAAUCCCCCGCACCCCCACAUUUUAGCUGCAGUGACACUGUGGAGCCACUGUGAUGUCCCAAGCUUCUCAGCCGUACUUUGAGUGGAAUUUGUGCGUUACAGCAUCCUAGAAAGGAAGUCACAGAGACACUACUGGUUCCAGCCAACAGCAUUUAGCUGUGUGGUGGCUCAAUAAACUGUGUUUUUAUCAAUCAGAUGCCUCAUAUAAAUCAGGCUACGAACAUCUGUCGAAAUGAUUUAAGCUUGGUGUAAUAACGAUUAAAACUGAUUUACAAACAGCAUUAUGAUAAGUAAGAUUGUUUGCCAAUAAUGGUUCAGAAUAGUGCACCGCUCACCAUAAUUUACGUACUGGAAGACCGAAUCCGAAAUUAGAAAUAGCAGGUCAGAAUUCCGCACGCUAGUCAUCCACUGCACUAUUGUGAGGCUAACAAAGAUGGUACUAAUGUGAAAGUUUCACAGAACUGUGUCAGAAAUAAAAAUAACUCGCCAGAAAAGGGUCCAGUACGGAGACAGAAGGCAAGCACAGAGUGCUUACUUGUGUAAAGUAUGUGAAUUUUACAACAUUUCCAUUUGCUAGAAUAUGGAAAUGCUGAUGUGUGUAAGAUGAUAAUUGUAGCUAUUCUUUACCUGAACUGUAGCUUUAGCCAUCCAUGAAAGGGAUACAAAUAUUUUCUCCUUGAGAUUAAGCUUUGCUCCUAUGGCAACAAAGACAGUGGAGAUGAUGCGUAUCUGAAAGAGAAAUUCAUGUAAUUUUGUGUAUGACAGGAAGAAAAAUCUACACUACAUGCUGA